rnacentral:rRNA from 1 species
CCUACGGGAGGCAGCAGUAGGGAUCUUCCGCAAUGGACGAAAGUCUGACGGAGCAACGCCGCGUGAGCGAUGAAGGCCUUCGGGUCGUAAAGCUCUGUUGUUAGGGAAGAACAAGUAUCGGAGUAACUGCCGGUACCUUGACGGUACCUAACCAGAAAGCCACGGCUAACUACGUGCCAGCAGCCGCGGUAAUACGUAGGUGGCAAGCGUUGUCCGGAAUUAUUGGGCGUAAAGCGCGCGCAGGCGGUCCUUUAAGUCUGAUGUGAAAGCCCACGGCUCAACCGUGGAGGGUCAUUGGAAACUGGGGGACUUGAGUACAGAAGAGGAAAGUGGAAUUCCACGUGUAGCGGUGAAAUGCGUAGAGAUGUGGAGGAACACCAGUGGCGAAGGCGACUUUCUGGUCUGUAACUGACGCUGAGGCGCGAAAGCGUGGGGAGCAAACAGGAUUAGAUACCCUGGUAGUCCACGCCGUAAACGAUGAGUGCUAAGUGUUAGAGGGUUUCCGCCCUUUAGUGCUGCAGCUAACGCAUUAAGCACUCCGCCUGGGGAGUACGGCCGCAAGGCUGAAACUCAAAGGAAUUGACGG